rnacentral:lncRNA from 1 species
GCAUCGAUGCCUACGGCUAUUGUUGCUGUUGCAUGGCCUGCACUGCUUCAGUGAGGCCCCUGACCUGCUGAACCAGUAGGUCGAAUUGAUCCGUGCCAAUCGUCGUUACCGGAGGAUGAGGAGGGGCCUGGGAAACUGGAGGUGAGGCUGGAGCUUGAGAUCUGACCGCAGAGGCCGUGGAUCAUCUGGUGGAUGCUCUGCGGGGAGGCAUCAGGUGAAGAUCUAGUAGAAGAAGGAGAAGAGAAUGUUGGAGAAGAUGAUCGGAAUCAGUCCCGUUGAGCACUCCUUUAAGAACAAGGGUACUGCAAAGA